rnacentral:tRNA from 1 species
GCCCCUGUGGUGGAAUGGUAGACACGGCAGACUCAAAAUCUGCUGCUUACAAAAGCAUGCUGGUUCAAGUCCGGCUAGGGGCA